rnacentral:tmRNA from 1 species
CCCCUUGCGAAAACGGAUUUCCGUUCUAUAAUGGAAAGUGCCGGAGCAAUCCGGCUAUGAUGCUAAACGCUUUAUGGAAUAGGCGUAGCGGACCCGGGGGCGGUACCCGGCGUCUCCACCAAACUUUGGGGACGAAACAGGAUCGACGCGCGUAGUAAAGGUAAAGUUUGUAUCCGGCAUUGUACCGCCGUUAUCGGGCUAUAACUUUAAAUGCGAAUGAUAAUCGCACUCAGGUUGCUCUCGCUGCGUAAUGCGGCCGGAAAACCGAACUUAAUCCCUGAGGCUUGAGCGCUUCGGGUGGGGCGGGGACUUGCCUAGCAACAGAAGUGUCCCGUU